AUUGAACGCUGGCGGCAGGCUUAACACAUGCAAGUCGAGCGAGCGGCAGACGGGUGAGUAAUGUCUGGGAAACUGCCUGAUGGAGGGGGAUAACUACUGGAAACGGUAGCUAAUACCGCAUACCAUCAGAUGUUCCCAGAGGGGCUUAGCUAGUAGGUGGGGGAAUGGCUCACCUAGGCGACGAUCCCUAGCUGGUCUGAGGGGAUGACCGGCUAAACGGGAACUGAGACACGGUCCAGACUCCCACGGUAGGAAGCGGUGGAGCAUAUUGGACAAUGGGCGCAAGCCUGAUGCAGCCAUGCCGCGUGUGUGAAGAAGGCCUUCGGGUUGUAAAGCACUUUCAGCGAGUAGGCGUUACUCGCAGAAGAAGCACCGGCUAACUCCGUGCCAGCAGCCGCGGUAAUAC
rnacentral:rRNA from 1 species